GGUAAGAUGGCCGAGUUGGUUAUGGCGCCAGGUUAAGGACGUCUGUAGGACAAUUAAAUCCUUAGCACGAUUAUUCCUGGUGGAGCAAUCCUCCUGGGUUCAAGUCCCAGUCUUAUCA
rfam:Hirsutella minnesotensis 3608 unplaced genomic scaffold MNSD_Scf_42, whole genome shotgun sequence.